AACGAACGCUGGCGGCGCGUCUUAAGCAUGCAAGUCGGACGGCAAGGCGGGAGCUUGCUCCUGCCCUAGAGUGGCGGACUGGUGAGUAACACGUGGGUGACAUACCCUCUGGUUGGGGAUAGCCGGUAGAAAUACCGGAUAAUACCGAAUACGAACGCACAGGUUAGAGUGGUGCGAGGAAAGGAGCUACGGCUUCGCCGGAGGAUUGGCCCGCGGCCCAUUAGCUAGUUGGAGUGGUAAAGGCACACCAAGGGCAAUGAUGGGUAUCCGGCCUGAGAGGGUGAUCGGACACAUUGGGACUGAGAUACGGCCCAGACUCCUACGGGAGGCAGCAGCUAAGAAUAUUCCGCAAUGGACGGAAGUCUGACGGAGCGACGCCGCGUGGAUGAGGAAGGCCGGAAGGUUGUAAAUCCUUUGGGACUGAAGAUAAGCGGUGCAGGGAAUGGCAUUGUGGUGACGGUAGGUCCUGAAU
rnacentral:rRNA from 1 species